CGAAGGGUGCAAGCGUUGUUCGGAUUUAUUGGGCGUAAAGCGCGCGCAGGCGGAUUUGUAAGUCAUGUGUGAAAUCUCGGGGCUUAACCCCGAAAUUGCGCCUGAAACUGCAGAUCUAGAAUACUGGAGAGGGAAGGGGAAUUUCUCAUGUAGGGGUAAAAUCCGUAGAUAUGAGAAGGAACACCGGAGGCGAAGGCGCCUUCCUGGACAGGUAUUGACGCUGAGGCGCGAAAGCGUGGGGAGCAAACAGGAUUAGAUACCCUGGUAGUCCACGCCGUAAACGUUGAGAACUAGUUGUGGCAGGUAUUAACCCCUGCCGUGACGUAGCAAACGCGUUAAGUUCUCCGCCUGGGGAGUACGGUCGCAAGACUA
rnacentral:rRNA from 1 species